UAGCUCUGGUUUCUCUUAUGUCAUGCAUAAAUCUUUCGCUUUUUAUUAAAGAUUUCCGUGGAGGGGAACUUUAAUGAGCUUGAUGUAUUUUCAUGAGUGUUGCUCUGGCAAAGCU